ensembl:snRNA U6 U6 spliceosomal RNA
GUGCUCGCUCCGGCAGCAAAUAUACUAAAAUGGGAACAAUACAGAGAAGAUUAGCAUGGCCCCUGCACAAGCAUGACACGCAAAUUCGUGAAGCGUUCCAAAUUUUU